CUCAGGGCCACACUCCAGGCUUCAGCGGACGGAUUCCAGGGCCGACCUCGGCGGAGCCACAGAGCCCCAAAGUGAAAUAAGUCCAGAUGUGCAUGUGAGCGAGUAAACAGCCUGUGGUCCAGCCAUCCAGCUGAACAGCGCGCCCCCGGCCAGAGGAGCAGCGUGGCACGGCCCCGGGGAGGGUGCCCAGGGGAGAGCCUGUCCCUGAGGCUGCGGCGUCCCGCACCGUUCCACUCGCCGAGGUCUGUGGAAUCAGGGCAAAUCGAGGGUUGCCCGACAUUAGUGGGGGGACGGGGGAGGGCGGGAAGCAGGCAUGGCUCCGGGAAGGCACGCCAGGGGCCUGCUCGGGGUCUGACACACCCACCCGCCCGAGAGAACACCGUGUCCAGCCCAGCACGCGACGAGCGCCCUCGAACCCGGGACCCGCGUCACCAUCCCGGCUGUGAGAUGAUGCUGCGUGUUGCCCGAUGUUGCCGUUUUGCGGGCAGUGGGCAAUGUGCACAAGGUGUCGCUCUGCCUGUGACCAGGUGUACAAUCAUCGCAAUAAAAAUUUCAAUGAGGCCAUAA